rnacentral:rRNA from 1 species
AUUGAACGCUGGCGGCAUGCCUUACACAUGCAAGUCGAACGGCAGCACGGGUGCUUGCACCUGGUGGCGAGUGGCGAACGGGUGAGUAAUACAUGGGAACAUGUCCUGUAGUGGGGGAUAGCCCGGCGAAAGCCGGAUUAAUACCGCAUACGAUCUACGUAUUAAAGCGGGGGCCCUUCGGGCCUCGCGCUAUGGUGUUGGCCGAUGGCGGAUUAGCUAGUUGGUGGGGUAAAGGCCUACCAAGGCGACGAUCAGUAGCGGGUCUGAGAGGACGACCGGCCACACGGGAACAGAGACACGGCGAAACUGCCGAGGGGAGGAAGGGGGGGGGAUUGUGGGACGAUGGGAGAAGGCCUGAAAGAGCAAUGCCGCGUGUGUGAGGAAGGUUUGGGGAUCGUAGAGUUCUUGUACGAGGGAGAAAAUUGUGGAGCCGAAACAAUGGGGGGGUUGAGGGUACCGGAUAAAAAAGCCCCGGCUAACUAGGUG